UUCGGAGUGACGAACCUUAUGACUUAGUGGCGGACGGGUGAGUAACACGUGAGCAACCUGCCUCUCAGAGUGGAAUAACAGUUGGAAACGGCUGCUAAUACCGCAUAACGUUAUUGUACCGCAUGAUACUUUAACCAAAGAUUUAUCGCUGAGAGAUGGGCUCGCGUCCGAUUAGGUAGAUGGUGGGGUAACGGCCUACCAUGCCGACGAUCGGUAGCCGGACUGAGAGGUUGAUCGGCCACAUUGGGACUGAGACACGGACCAGACUCC
rnacentral:rRNA from 1 species